CAAUGGCCAAGCAUUGAUGUGCAACUUGGUGAACUACAAAAUACAUCAAAUUCAGUUAUAAAAAUUUGAAUAACAAAGGUAUGCUAAUUAUUCUAUUGCUUAAAAGAGUGUCAUUGCCAUUAAAAGCAGUGAAGAAUUCAAGUACUCUGGAAGAAAAAAGACAAGAAAACACUUAAGUAAAUGGUUGUGUAUUUUUGCAGGUUAAUUAUUUGGCAUAAAUUGGAGUUAAAGACAAAGGAGAUUGUAUAUAUUAUUUACUAAGAAUUGUUUUUUAAAAUGGCUGUAAAAUUAAACUACGAGAGGACAAAAACUUGGAAUGGGAAAAAUGUUGAUUGCAUAUGUUGCUAUUGAAACUGUGAAGUCAAAUAAGCAUGGCUUAUGCAGACAUGUGAUAGAGAUAGCGGAAG